GGGAGAUGACGGCUGAAAAAUCUGAAAAAGCUACGGCAAGGAAGAGUCUUAGGAUAGCUGGGGUUACGGGCUGAGGGUUGAGAAGAGAAAAAUCUUGAGAGCAAGGAGGAGACCAGAGGGACUCUAGUGACGGCUGAGAAAGAAUAGAGAGAAACUGAAGGAGAAAGGGAAGAGCUUUGGGAGGAUGAAGAUCUGAAAAAGGGGAGGAACCCGAGAGAUAGAAAGACAGGAAAAGGGAAAGAAAAGGGGGACGGCGGCUGGAGCAAGAAAAACUGAGAAACAAGAGAGGCGACGGCAGAGGGAAAAAACCGAGAGCUUUGUGAAGAAAGAGUGAAAAUAACCGAGGGGAGAGCUGAGUAGAGUUGGCGGCUGUGGGGGUUUAGAAACAAAAACCAAAGAGAGAGGGGGAGGGUUAACGGAAGAAAGGAAAGGAAGAAGGAAGCGGCGGCUGAACAAGAAGAAACGUUGCUGUGUUCCAGAAAUUUCUUCACCAGAAAUCUGUGGCGUUGAAGUCGACGUCCUCACACAAUUUCUUCGUUUCUGCUUUGUUCACGGGAUCCCAUAAGGUGCUAAAGGUAAUCCCUUUACUUCAUAUCUUCAAGCAAGCCCAGCAGAUUUGAGGUUUAUGUAGGUUUGGAAUUAGUUUUUGACUCAUUCUUGCCGUUUAUUCUUGCUGUUUCUGUUUGUUUCUGUUUGUGUGUUCUUUCAUUUCUGUUUUCCGCAUGACCUUCAAUGGUUUGUCUCCUGCAUUUUUGUGUUGUGUUUGGGAGUUUUAUGGAUUUGGAUGACUAGUUUUCUGGUUUGGUUUGAAGGUCCGAGAGAAUGAAAUGGUUGCUUCAUGGUCCGAGAAUGAAAUGUUUG
rnacentral:lncRNA from 1 species